rnacentral:rRNA from 1 species
UACGUAGGCAGCGGGCGUUGUUCGGAGUUACUGGGCGUAAAGGGUGUGUAGGCGGUUUUCUAAGUCUGGUGUGAAAUCUCCCGGCUCAACUGGGAGGGUGCGCCGAAAACUGGAAGGCUAGAGUGCGGGAUGGGUAAGUGGAAUUCCACGUGUAGCGGUGAAAUGCGUAGAGAUGUGGAGGAACACCAGUGGCGAAGGCGGCUUUUUGGUCUGUAACUGACGCUGAGGCGCGAAAGCGUGGGGAGCAAACAGG